AAGAAAAAGAAUGUGGAUCUCAUUUAUCUCUUUCUGUGUGUGGGGGGAAAACUGAUGUGAGAGGACAGAUGGCUUGAGGAUUACAGACAAGACAAAUCACUCCAAUCAGAAAUUCUUCCUUUCCUCCACUGAGUGAAUUGGAUGAAGCCUUGUAUUCAGAGGAAUCUUAAUUGAAGCAGGAGGAAGGUGCCGUGAGACAACAGAGGCCUCUGCUGUGCAUACGUUAUUUGAUUGGAUCGAUGGUAAACUUAGGAGAUAUAUAGGAAGAUACACCAUUUUAUACAUGAGAAAGUCAAGCACCGGACAGCUCCAGAUCAAUCGAAGAAUUUAAACACUCAUGGAAUUCAGUACAGCUGGAUCGGACUUAGCUUUGUUUGUUUUGGUGACUAUCUUUCCACAUUCAUGAUGAGAUUCCGAAUUGUACCCCUCACCCUAAAAGGGGUCUGGCCAACAGUCGGUCUCCUCAUAGAAAACACUGUGUUCUCUCAAGACAAACUAAGUCUUUUGACUUCUUUUUUGUUACAGAUUAUUUAAAAUUUUCCUAACAUAUGUGUGAUUAUAUAGGGCUU